UGCUUUAUGGUGGUCAGCUUUUCGUGGAUCAGUUUGCAGAUCAGGCAGUUGCGGGUCAGGUAGGCAUUGAUUUCUACAUGAAAGAACUCACGGAGAUGCCCUUUCAGUGCCUCCCACCCAUUGAAGUCGUCGUCUGAAUCCUCAAUGGCCCCUAAAAGCCCACUUCUGAUGACAUCACUUCCCGUUUCCAGCAACGGCACUUCCUGCUUUAUGGUG